rnacentral:rRNA from 1 species
UACGUAGGUGACAAGCGUUGUCCGGAUUUACUGGGCGUAAAGAGCGCGCAGGCGGUCGAUCAAGUCGAGUGUGAAAGCCCCCGGCUCAACUGGGGAGGGUCAUUCGAUACUGAUCGACUCGAAGGCAGGAGAGGGUAGUGGAAUUCCCGGUGUAGUGGUGAAAUGCGUAGAGAUCGGGAGGAACACCAGAGGCGAAGGCGGCGACCUGGACAGAUACUGACACUCAACUACGAAAGCGUGGGUAGCAAACAGG